ACUCUUGGGAGCUCUCCUGCUGACAAGAAGAUAAGCUGUCAUUGCCUGGGUGCAACUCUUCAGAACAGAACAUGACUUAUCAAAUUUGACACAACUAAUGGAAAGAGUGCAAAGUAAAAAAAAUCAGAAAAGAAAAAUACUUCUAGAUGUUUUUCAAAUUCAUGAGCCUCCCAGGUCUGAAGCAGAAGCAUUACUAGGUGAUCCUGCCUUUUGACAACUGGAGGACAAACUCCUUCCAGGCUCCUUCUGGUUCACAAAGAAGAUUCAAAGAUGAGCAGACAAGCUUAAGCCCGUGGUUCUGAUGAACAAAAGGAAUGGCCAGGAAGCCUUCGGCUAAUCAUACUUUAUAUUCUUUGGCUACCUCUGCUAUUGUUUUCCUAGGACCCGACAAUCAGUAAUGCAAUGGGAAGAGCUUGGGGGGAAGUCUGCACAAUCUUUGUUGGGGAAGAUCACCAUUCGGUCCUUUUUAGCAUCAUUUUAUUUGCUGUAGCUCCUAGACCUGCAAUAAUAGGGUGUCCUUGAAGGAAGUAUUGAAGGCAAUCUGUUUGUCUUCAAACUGGGGCCCUCUUCCCAACUAGACAUGCCUGACUGACUCCAUCUAGUGCAGUGUUUCUCAACCUUGACCCCUUGAAGAUGUGUGGA